UGCAAGUCGAACGGCAGCGACGGGGGCAACCCUGGUGGCGAGUGGCGAACGGGUGAGUAAUGCAUCGGAAUGUACCCAGUAGUGGGGAUAACUAGUCGAAAGACUAGCUAAUACCGCAUACGCACUACGGUGGAAAGCGGGGGAUCGCAAGACCUCGCGCUAUUGGAGCAGCCGAUGUCCGAUUAGGUAGUUGGUGGGGUAAUGGCCUACCAAGCCCGCGAUCGGUAACUGGUCUGAGAGGACGACCAGUCACACUGGGACCGAGACACGGCCCAGACUCCUACGGGAGGCAGCAGUGGGGAAUUUUGGACAAUGGGCGCAAGCCUGAUCCAGCAAUGCCGCGUGUGUGAAGAAGGCCUUCGGGUUGUAAAGCACUUUUGGCAGGAAAGAAAUAGUGCGUGCUAAUACCAUGCGCGAAUGACGGUACCUGCAGAAUAAGCACCGGCUAACUACGUG
rnacentral:rRNA from 1 species